UUUGAAAUCUAAUGGCCAUUGGUGUUAGAGCAAAUAUCCAAACCGGUUACUUUAAAAUAUGUUUAAAGGAACCGUGGGAUAAGGCCAAUUGUUGUGCAAAUGUCGUUAAUGGAUAUGAAAUGAUUAAUUUGCAAAGAUGUUUAGAUGCAUUAUGAAAAUUUGUAAAGGGUUCCGUGAAAUCAUGGUUCUCGCUAGAUUGCCG
rnacentral:lncRNA from 1 species